CCUACGGGUGGCAGCAGUGAGGAAUAUUGGUCAAUGGCCGGAAGGCUGAACCAGCCAAGCCGCGUGAGGGAUGACUGCGCAGAGCGUCGCAGACCUCUUUUGCCUGGGGACAAAAGGCCGGACUCGUCCGGUCCUGUGUGUACCCUGAGAAAAAGCAUCGGCUAACUCCGUGCCAGCAGCCGCGGUAAUACGGAGGAUGCGAGCGUUAUCCGGAUUUAUUGGGUUUAAAGGGUGCGAGGGCGGGCCUUUAAGCCGGCGGGGAAAUUGGGGGGCUCAACCCCGCCGAGCCGUGGAAACUGGGAGUCUUGAGUGCAGUGGAGGUGGGCGGAAUGCGUGGUGUAGCGGUGAAAUGCAUAGAUAUCGCGCAGAACUCCGAUUGCGAAGGCAGCGGGCCGUGCUGCAACUGACGCUGAGGCACGAAAGCGCGGGGAUCGAACAGGAUUAGAUACCCUAGUAGUC
rnacentral:rRNA from 1 species